CCAUUUCUCAGCAAGGGGGAGAUGAGGCCAGUUCCUCCAGCAUUCAGAUGAUGCCUUCUCUUCCAGGGGUUCACUUUGGAAGGAAGCGUAUGAUCCAGCAGCCACCCUGCUGACUUCCAGCCACCUUUGUAUGCUCAGCCUAAAUGAUGAGUGUAUGUUAUCUCACCUGUGAGACAGCAAGAGGAGGAAUUAAUCUUGGAUUUGAAGAAUGUUGGGUAUGAUUGGGCUGUGUCCUCAACUGAAGACUCCUCCAGAGUCCAACCUAACCUUUACUGAGCUGGAGAUCUGAGGACGAGCCUAAUAGGGAACUGCUUUACCUUGUGAGGUAAGCACCGAGGAGAAUCAUCAAUGGCCCUUAACCAGAAUCUGCCUGGAAAAUAGCCACAACAACUCAUGCUGUUGCUCAUGCUCUGCAGACCAAUGGUGUGCCAGGGCUGGCCUGACAGUCCGGUUUGAAUCCAAAUUAAUUAACUGUUUCUUUAAAAAUUGACUCAAGUGCCCAUCUGGAGGGCUGAGAAGCACUCCAGAAAUCAGUUCGACCAGCUGGCCCUGUGGUCAGCAAGGAGUUUGUUUUCUGCACCGUAGGUGAUGUAUUCCACUUGUUUUUUCAAGGAAUUCUAGUCCUCAGACAGAGUGAACAAAAAAUAAAAAUGUUUGGGCUCCAGUCUUUGAAAAUAUU
rnacentral:lncRNA from 1 species